UGACCACCAAGGUGGUAGCUCAGUAGGAACGGAACGUUUACUUUCAACCAAGUGGUUCCAGGUUCGAAACGCGCGGACGUCGAUUAAAUUUGGGGACCGAAUGCUCCACGCCUGGACACAGGGUCUGGAAGUGCUACUGGUCGGCUGAUAGGCUGGGUGGUGCCAGGUGUGACGUACUCACACGGAGGGUCGGGUUGGGUAACCGAGCCGACUCACGGGUGGGAAGGGUAUAAGUAAAAUAGGUCGGCGUGCCCAACACACGACCCGGUUUGCCCGCAUCGAACAUUCUCCUGGCGGGGUGGGGGGCCCAGUGGAGGCUGCUACGCGGGGUUGGGCUUGUCCCUUCCUCCCCCCUGCUCCCUUUUUUUUUAGCAAAAAAAAAAAAAGAAUACAAUAUUGUCAUUCCCAUGACAGCAAUAAUUUUAACGUUCAAUGAGAAACCCCUGUCCUAGAAUAUCCUAAUGACAUUUCAAUUUUUUUCAUUAUCAGAGUGUCCCUGCAAGUUUUUAUCUUCACAAAUUUCCGUCGAACCCCUCCUGUCUAAUGAACUCCAUUUCUUAGCUUUUCCUAUGAAAAUUAAUCACGUCUCAUUAGCUCCAUGGAAGAACCAGACUCAUAGUGCUUAUUAUGCUAGAAGAAAAUUUGGUAUGCUUGUUAAAAGAUUCGCAGUUAAUGCUUCUUUUGAUGAGUUGUUUUGGAUCCGCCAUACUUCUAUCCCAAACAUUGAUGGACUUGUAACAAAAAAAAAAAAAAACCUAAAAAAGGAGCAGAAGAGAAAAGUAUAAGCAUAAAACAUAAUUUUCAAGGGUAGGAGUCCAUAUUCUUUUACUCAGCAAUAAUGAUGAUGAUUUGAUGAUAUAGACCUGAGCCACAAGUCUUAGAACAACAACAAUAACAGUAGAAGAGCACUUAAAAUAUAGAGGUGUUAUAUAGCUCUCCGUUGUAAGCUGAACACGCCCAAACAUGACAUCAGCCUUGGGCUGCUUAUUUAGUGCAUGGAUUGAUACAAAGUGAAGGUAAUAUAUGUUCGACCACAGAGCGGUCAAUGGCCCCUGAUACUAGUAUAGAUAAGGUUUUUGUGGCAAUUAUGGUGUGGGAGGACGACCACGGCAUCCGUAGAUCCUUUUGCAGGGAAGUCGAUGCACUGGUGGAGGGGGAGGCACUGGUGGAGGGGGACGGCAUCUGUAGAUCCCUCUGCAGGGACGUGGAUACACCACUGGUGGAGAGGGAAGGCAUCGGCCGUAAGGCUUGCCCUUGCCCACUACACAUGGUUGCCUACUCGGCGCUAACGCACCACGAGAAAUAUGCCCAGCAUCCGCAGGCUUCUGGCCAUCAACUUCUGCACAAACCAAUUGUCAAUUAUUAUUUGCAUUAACUUAGAGGGAAAGAUGUAUUUAAUUUUCUUUUUAAGAUAAAAGAUCGAAAUUUAUAACGUUCCAACAGCAUUCACCAAGAUCUACAUUUGCCAUUCAUUUUUUUAAAAGGAAAAAUAAUUGAAGGAAGUUUCUUACCUCCAUUCUAAACUAGUUUUACUAGAUUAUACUAGGUUAUGAAGGAGACAAAGUAAGUUAAAUUCCCAUUCAACUAUUUUAACAUAGCAGUAUGAUGUGUUACAGAUAGUGAUGUCAAACCAAUUGAGUGAGCAGGUCAAACUCAGAUCAAGCUUCAGCUUGAGAAAAACUCAAAUUGUAGAUAAAUAAAUUAAAUUUGAAUCAAUAAAACAAGCUUUUAUUGUGUACGUGAGUGCGUUUGUAUAGAUAGGUACACAGAUAGAUAGAUAAUGGAUUUUUGAAUUAGGACUUUGAUUAAUAUAAUUCUUUUAAUCAAUUAAAUAUUAAUUUAGACUUGAGUCAAGCUUAAAAUCAAGCUAUAAUUCAAACUCAAUUUAAGAUUAUUGAGCUGAUCAAGUACACCCGUCUUCGAGUUGGUUCGAAAUUAAGCUUGAAAUAUUGAUAAGAAAAAUCGAACUUGAUCUUCGAGUUUCUAGCUUAAAAUUAGUUUCAAAUUAAGCUUAAUCAGGCCCAAGCUUAAUCAGACCCAAGCUUGAUUAAGCUUAGCUCUCUUAGACCCCUAGCCCUUGAUGGCAGCAUGUGGGCAACCAGUCUAAUUCAUGUCAGGCCUCUUCCACUUUCAGAUGGAAGGCAUCUAUUUUGUGCAUAAAAAAUUCUAAUACAUGCCUGAUAAUACCACUUGUGGUAACUCAAUAUUAAACCACCCCUACCUAUCACAUUAAUUUUCAAAGAGUAAACUUGUCCCUUCAUAUCAUGCAGCCAGAGAACAUUAUGUGCCUACAGAUGUCCCUAUCUUUAUUGCUUCAAAUAUGAGAUAAAUUUCUUGUAAUAAAGUGGGAAAGCUGGAAAAAAAAAAGAGAACAAAAAAGAAUGGUUUGGCUCUAACUUAUGUUUUACUCCAUAUUCUAGCUACAACUUAUGCGAUAUUAAUUAAAAGAAAGCAAUAUAUUUUUCAUAAAAGAAGUAAAUUGGGAGAUUAAAAA
rnacentral:lncRNA from 1 species